rnacentral:rRNA from 1 species
UUCCGGUUGAUCCUGCCGGAGGCUACUGCUAUCGGAAUUCGAUUAAGCCAUGCGAGUCGAGAGGGUUCGGCCCUCGGCUGACGGCUCAGUAACACGUGGAUAACCUGCCCUCAGGUAGGGGAUAAUCUCGGGAAACUGAGGAUAAUACCCUAUAGACAUCCUUUGCUGGAAUGCUUGGAUGUUCAAAGGCAACGCCUGAGGAUGGGUCUGCGGCCUAUCAGGUUGUAGUGGGUGUAACGGACCCACUAGCCAGCGACGGGUACGGGCCUUGAAAGAGGUAGCCCGGAGAUGGACUCUGAGACACGAGUCCAGGCCCUACGGGGCGCAGCAGGCGCGAAAACUUCGCAAUGCGGGAAACCGUGACGAGGGAAUUCCGAGUGCUCAUACAAUGUAUGGGCUUUUCUGAUGUGUAAAAAGCAUUAGGAAUAAGGGCUGGGUAAGACCGGUGCCAGCCGCCGCGGUAAUACCGGCAGCUCUAGUGGUAGCCACUUUUAUUGGGCCUAAAGCGUCCGUAGCCGGUCAGGUAAAUCCUUGGGUAAAUCGUACAGCUUAACUGUGCGGCUUCCGGGGAGACUGCCUGACUUGGGACCGGGAGAGGUUGGAGGUACUCCUGGGGUAGGGGUGAAAUCCUGUAAUCCUAGGUGGACCACCGGUGGCGAAGGCGUCCAACCAGAACGGCUCCGACGGUGAGGGACGAAGGCUAGGGGCGCAAACCGGAUUAGAUACCCGGGUAGUCCUAGCUGUAAACGCUGCAGACUUGGUGUUGGAGAUCCUACGAGGGUGUCCAGUGCCGGAGAGAAGUUGUUAAGUUUGCCGCCUGGGAAGUAUGGCCGCAAGGCUGAAACUUAAAGGAAUUGGCGGGGGAGCACCGCAACGGGAGGAGCGUGCGGUUUAAUUGGAUUCAACGCCGGAA